GCCCUAGUAACGGCGAGUGAAGCGGCAACAGCUCAAAUUUGAAAUCUGGCGCAAGCCCGAGUUGUAAUUUGUAGAGGAUGCUUCUGGGCAGCGGCCGGUCUAAGUUCCUUGGAACAGGACGUCACAGAGGGUGAGAAUCCCGUAUGUGAUCGGUUGGCACCCGCUACGUAGCUCCUUCGACGAGUCGAGUUGUUUGGGAAUGCAGCUCUAAAUGGGAGGUAAAUGCCUUCUAAAGCUAAAUACCGGCCAGAGACCGAUAGCGCACAAGUAGAGUGAUCGAAAGAUGAAAAGCACUUUGGAAAGAGAGUUAAAAAGCACGUGAAAUUGUUGAAAGGGAAGCGCAUGCAACCAGACUUGUCCGCGGUGUUCCGCCGGUCUUCUGACCGGUCUACUCGCCGCGGGCAGGCCAGCAUCAUCUGGGAGCGCCGGAUAAAGGUAGCGGGAAUGUGGCCCCUCGGGGUGUUAUAGCUCGCUACACAAUACGGCGCCUCCCGGGUGAGGUCCGCGCUUCGGCUAGGAUGCUGGCGUAAUGGUUGUAUGCGGCCCGUCUUGAAACACGGACCAAGGAGUCUACCAUCUAUGCGAGUGUUCGGGUGUCAAACCCCUACGCGCAAUGAAAGUGAACGGAGGUGGGAACCGCAAGGUGCACCAUCGACCGAUCCUGAUGUCUUCGGAUGGAUUUGAGUAAGAGCAUAGCUGGUGGGACCCGAAAGAUGGUGAACUAUGCCUGAAUAGGGUGAAGCCAGAGGAAACUCUGGUG
rnacentral:rRNA from 1 species